GAUAGUUAUUGGAGACCUUGACAACAGCAGCUUUAGAAUGCUCUUGCAGAAAAGAUAAAACUCUAAUUUGACUGAAUUUCAGAAUAAAGUUAAGUAAGAGACCAGCAGCAUUGGACAAAUUAUGAAGAAUAAUGUUGUGAAGUAUUCAAGGCGCAUUUCAGUAUCAUGAAAUACAACAUCAGAAGAAAUACAGGUGUUUGAUGACUUUCAUGAGCAGCAAAGCUUUAAUAAGGAGCAGAAAAAUAAAAAAGGAGGCUAAAUUUAAGUCAAAAAAGGUAGAUGCAAUAUAUUUAUUAGGAUUUAUUUAACCAAACAUUGAUGAUUACUACGUGUCAGGUACUAUUCCAAGUAUUUAUAAAUAUAACUAAUUUAAUCUCUUCUUCUUCCAGUCUUUAAAAUUAACUAAAAUCAUUUUUUUAAAAAAGAGGCCACAAUUUUUUCUUUUCUGUUUAUACUACUUCCUAAGUACUUAGCUAGACCUUCUAGAUGUCUGGAUAUCUGGCCACUCUUUUGGUUCUUCAUAUAUGCCAUGCUCUCUUGUGCCUUAGAACCUUUAAGUUUGCUGUUUCCCCUGCUGGGAAAGUUAUUUUAAUCUGUCCCUUUUCUUAUUUAAUUCCUGCUUUUUCUUCAGAUCUCAGUUCAACCAUCAUCUUUGAGGCAAAAAUUUCAACUUCUUUAUCUAAAGACAAGUAGAGGGCUACAAUAGCAUAUUACAGAAAUUUUAAGAGCUGUGCUUAAUCCACUUUGCUCACCUUGAAUCUCUAGUCCUCAGAUAGUGGUUCUUAUUUUCCAUGAAAUGAGGAAACAUUGAAGGGUAAUGGGGAAUGGCUUAGGUUAUGUUUUAAAAGGAUCACUCUGACUGUUUUACUGAGAUGAAAGUAGGGGCACAAAAGUGGAAUAAGAAAGAUAACUUAUGAGGCUACCAAUAAUCCAAUUCAGGGCUGAUGAUAGCACUGACAAUAAAAAGUGGUCAUAUUUGGAGUAUUUUGAAAGCAGAACCAACAAAAUUUGUAUUGGGUGUGAGGUGUGAGAGCAAGGAGUAAAGCAUGACUUCAAGAUUUUGCCUGAGCAACUGGUAGGAUGCGGUUGUCAUCAGCUGAAAUGAGAAAACCUGUGGGUGCAGCUAGUUUGAGGGAAGAGCAAGAUUUCUGUCUUGAACAUAGGUUUGAGAUGUCUAUUUAGACAUCCAAUAGAGAUAUUAAAUAGGCAGCUGGAAUUCAAGAAAGCCUGGAAAUAAAAGAUAAAAACUGCAAGUUGGCAGUACAUUGAUAGUACUUAAAGCCAUGAAACUGGAUGAGAUCACCAAGAGAGUGAGUAUAAGCAAAGAGGCAAACCGUGGACUGAGUCCUCAGGUGUUUUAAUGUAAAGAGAUUAGGGAGAAGGAAGGGAUCAGCAAGGAGACUGAGAAUGACUAGUCAAUGAGGCAGAAGUGUGGUCUUUCAGAAGUGAAAUGAAAGUAUAUCAAGGAGAAAAGGAGUCAGGACAAAUAGCUGGUCUCUAAAUCAAUGUCAUUAAAAAUUUUAAAAACAAAACCACUCACUUAAAAGCUCUACAGGGUAUAACAGCUAGAUAAGACACAUAGACCUAGAUUUAAUACUGCUUUAGAAAAACCAGUGGUAAAAAACGUUUUGAGGCCAAAUUGGUAAAUUUAGCUUUAGUAUUAGAGAUGAAAACACUGAAAGGGAAAGCUCAAGGUUGCUGUUUUUUUUUUUUUUUUUAAAGGUAUGUUCUCACUCUGUCAACCAGACUGGAAUGCAGUGGCAUGUUCACAGUUCACUACGACCUUGACCCACUAGGCUCAAGUGAUCUUUCCACCUCAGCCUCCCAAGUAGCUGGGACUACAGGCACAUGCCACCACACCUGGCUAAAUUUUUGGCAAAGAUGGGGUCUAUUGCCAUUGCCCAGCCGAACUCCUGGCCUCAAGUGAUCCUCCUGCCUCAGACUUCCAAAGUGUAAGGAUUACAGGUAUGAGUAUGCCAGGCCAAUUCUUGACUUUAAAAGCAGGAUUCAGAAUAGUGUAAAUAAGGACCUCAUUUUGAUCAAAAAUAUAUGUAUGUAUGACGCACACAGAAUGAUCAGAAAGGAUAUAUAAGGUAUUAGUGGUAAACUUUGGAUGGGAAUAUGAAGUUCUAGUUUUUAAUAUUUUGCUUGCUAUAUUUUCAAUUUUUAAUAUUUCACUUGCCCUUCCCUCCCCCUCUUCCUUCUUCCGUUCGUGAUGGGGAAUGACUGCUAAUGGGUAUAAGGUUUGUUUGGGGGAUGUUUUGAACAUUUUGAAAAUGUUCUAAAAUUAUAGUGUUGAUGGUUGUACAACUCUGUAAACAUAUUAAAAACCAGAGAACUGUGUACUUUAAAAAGCUGGAUUUUACAGUACAUGAAUUAUAUUGCAAAACAGCUGUUAAUAGAAAGCAGCAAAAUCUAGCUGAUCUGUGUAUUUCACUUCUUUACAGUAUUUUCUGAUUUACUCUUUUGUUGCCAUUGCACAGAUUUUUUUUUUCUUUAACCUCUCUUACUUCCAGAGAUUUGAUCCUUUUUUUUUUUUUUUUUUUUUUUGAGACGGAGUCUGGCUCUGUCGCCCAGGCUGUAGUGCAGUAGUGGCACAAUCUUGGCUCACUGCAACUUCUGCCUCCCAGGUUCAAGCGAUUCUCCUGCCUCAGCCUCCUUAGUUAGGAUUACAGGUGCCCGCCACUGUGCCCGACUAAUUUUUGUAUUUUUAGUAGAGACAGGGUUUCGCCAUGUUGGCCAGGCUUGUCUCAAACUCCUGACCUCAGGUGAUCCGCCCGCCUCGGCCUCCCAAAGUGCUGGGAUUACAGAUGUGAGCCACUGCACCCGGCCUGAUCAUUUUUUAAUAACAUUGUUCUCCUCCUCCUCCUUUAAGAGACAGGGUCUCACUGUGCUGCCCAGGCUGGCCUCAAACUCCUGGGCUCAAGCAGUCCUCCCCACUCAGACUCCUGAGUAGCUGGGACUACAAACACACCACCACGCUCAGCUAACUCCCCAUCUCUUAAUCCCUAUCCCUACACCAUUCCCAAACUUUCCCAAAUCAAAGAUUAACCAGACAGAGAAAAUACACUUUUACAGUUUAAGAAAUAUUAAAUGUGAUAACUGUUCAGGAUCUACUUUUUACACAAUCUCAG
rnacentral:lncRNA from 1 species